rnacentral:tRNA from 1 species
GCCUGGGUGGCUCAGCUGGUUAAGCGUCGAACUCUUGGUUUCAGCUCAGGUCAUGAUCUCACAAUUUGUGGGUUCGAGUCCCACAUCAGGCU